AAUUCUCAACCCCUCCAAUUCGUUUUGGACGUGGGCUUGGACUGUGGGGGUUUGCCGGGUGACCUUGUGUGGUCGGCUCUCCUGAAAUUCAUUGGCAAGGGACUGUGUGCGUGUUGCCUCGGCGUGAUAAUGAUCGUCGUGUCUGGCGUGCAAGUAGGAGUCCCUUUUGCCCACAACCGUCGCCGCUCGGGUGACAAUGCUUCUUUGAAA
rnacentral:misc_RNA from 1 species